UCGGGAAUUUUGGGCAAUGGGCGAAAGCCUGACCCAGCAACGCCGCGUGAGGGAUGAAGUAUUUCGGUAUGUAAACCUCGAAAGAAUGGGAAGAAUAAAUGACGGUACCAUUUAUAAGCUCCGGCUAACUACGUGCCAGCAGCCGCGGUAAUACGUAGGGAGCAAGCGUUGUUCGGAUUUACUGGGCGUAAAGGGCGCGUAGGCGGCGCGGUAAGUCACUUGUGAAAUCUCUGAGCUUAACUCAGAACGGCCAAGUGAUACUGCUGUGCUAGAGUGCGGAAGAGGCAACCGGAAUUCUUGGUGUAGCGGUGAAAUGCGUAGAUAUCAAGAGGAACACCUGAGGCGAAGGCGGGUUGCUGGGCCGACACUGACGCUGAUGCGCGAAAGCCAGGGAAGCAAACG
rnacentral:rRNA from 1 species